rnacentral:rRNA from 1 species
AAGGAUCAUUACCGAAUUGUCAACACGAGUUGUUGCUGGUCCUCAAAUGGGGACAUGUGCACNCUCUGUUUACACAUCCACUCACACCUGUGCACCCUCCAUAGUUCUGCAGCCUGGGGGCUCCGUCCCCCUGCCGUGGUUCUGUGUAUUUACACAUACACUGUAGUAAAGUCUCAUGGAAUGCAUACCGCGUUUAACGCAAUAUAAUACAACUUUCAGCAACGGAUCUCUUGGCUCUCGCAUCGAUGAAGAACGCAGCGAAAUGCGAUAAGUAAUGUGAAUUGCAGAAUUCAGUGAAUCAUCGAAUCUUUGAACGCACCUUGCGCCCUUUGGCUAUUCCGAAGGGCAUGCCUGUUUGAGUAUCAUGAACACCUCAACUCUCAUGGCUUUGCCAUGAUGAGCUUGGACUUUGGGGGUCUUGCUGGCCUGUGGUCGGCUCCUCUCAAAUGAAUUAGCUUGCCAGUGUUUGGUGGCAUCACGGGUGUGAUAACUAUCUACGCUUGUGGUUUUCCACCAGGUAACCUUCAGUGAUGAAGGUUUGCUGGGGCUCAUAAAAGUCUCUCCUCGGCGAGGACAGCUCUUUGAACGUUUGAUCUCAAAUCAGGUAGGACUACCCGCUGAACUUAA